rnacentral:rRNA from 1 species
UACGUAGGGGGCAAGCGUUGUCCGGAAUUAUUGGGCGUAAAGAGCGUGUAGGCGGUCCGGUAAGUCGGCUGUGAAAGUCCAGGGCUCAACCCUGGGAUGCCGGUCGAUAUUGCCGGACUAGAGUUCGGAAGAGGCGAGUGGAAUUCCCGGUGUAGCGGUGAAAUGCGCAGAUAUCGGGAGGAACACCUAUGGCGAAGGCAGCUCGCUGGGACGUUACUGACGCUGGAGACGCGAAAGCGUGGGGAGCAAACAGG